UACGUAGGGGGCUAGCGUUGUCCGGAAUCAUUGGGCGUAAAGAGCGCGUAGGCGGCUGGAAUAGUCCGGUGUGAAAUCCACAGGCUUAACCUGUGAAUGCCGCUGGAAACUGUCUGGCUAGAGUCCGGAAGGGGCGAGUGGAAUUCCUGGUGUAGCGGUGAAAUGCGCAGAUAUCAGGAGGAACACCAAUGGCGAAGGCAGCUCGCUGGGACGGUACUGACGCUGAGGCGCGAAAGCAUGGGGAGCGAACAGG
rnacentral:rRNA from 1 species